GAGACAGUUUUAAGAACUUGAAUAUGGCAUUUAUUUGCCUCUGAGUAGCCAACAAUUCAGCAGUACAUGAAUGACAAAAGAUGUAUGGCAUUGGAAAGAGUUUUAAAGGUGACAAAUAUUGUGAUGGAAUGGAAGAAUUCAGGAGGUCUUGGGUCCAUAGCUGCUUGGGUCUCAUUGUUUCCAAGCUGUUCAUCUUUUAGAAUGCUGAAUCUUCUAAAUCUCAGUUUCCCGAUUUCAAAUUUGGUUAUAAAAAUACCCACAUCACAGCAUUGUUGUAAGGCUCUACAUAUGACAGGCAUUGGACAAAUAGAGGCUGUGUUCUAACCCAAUCUCCAUUUUGUAGAUAAGAAAAUUCAGGGUCCGAAUUUUUGUGACAGCUCAAAGCAAAAUCUCGUGCAUCUGUGUUCUACUACAAUUCUAAAAUUUAUACUUUCAUGCCAGUUUUCUAGGCUGUAAUUGGAAAUGGGCUGACAAAUAGAGGUUUGUUUCUAAAAGAGAUGAGCGGAAAAACUUGCAGGCUCUUUUAUCCAGAUGCUCAGAAUGGUUUCCAGUUAGUGCUACUUUAUCCCAAGAACGCAAAUGGUCGGUUUCUGCUUCUCUUGCCUCCUCUGAUUCUGUUACUACUUGGAAAGCCCUGAGGUUCACAGCUAAUUAAAGAGGGAUGGAAGAAAAUUAUACCUCUGUUGAUACUAUUGUUUUAAUCUAUCUCAAAAGCUUCUUAACAGCAAGGCAACAAGCAGUGGACUGAGAGGGAGUUUUCUCUGAUAGAGAGGGCACAGGAGACCAUAGCAUGAUUUCCAUGAAUCCACUAUCAUUUCUAAGUGACUUUUAUAUUUUCUACUGUUGGAGAUUCACUCCCCCCACACACACACACACACUUUCAGAUAAUAUUCUAGGAUCUGCUGAGUCUUAAGAAAACAAAGAGGCCCAGAAGAGGAUAAAAUAACAUGUAUGUAAUGAAUUUAUUGUAUGCCUUGCACCAUGUUUCUCUCUUUAUUUCCUCAUUUAAUCACCACAACAAGAAUGUAUAUUCAUUUUUUAUAAGAAAAUACCAAAACUUUGUGAAGUUAAGAUCAUAAAGCUAAUAAGUGUCAGAGCUGGGAUUCAGAACCAUUUCUUUAUUAUCAUCAUUAUAAUCAGUCAUUAUAAUUAUCAGUCACCAUCUUCAUUAAAAGCUUAACCUUUAUUGGGCACUUAUUAUGGACAGAGCCCUCUUCUAAACAGUUUGAAUAUAUCAAUUUAUUUAAAUACACUAUAUAUGGAUUUAACAGCUACUCCUCACAAAAAUCCCAUGAAGUAGAUAUUAUUAUUAUCCCUAAAUUUUCCCAAGGUGAAACAGUUGAUAACCCAGCUAGUUUAAUUCCAAAGGCUCUUUCUGAAUCCGAAUCAGAUAUUUUCUAACUCUAUACCUUGCCUCACUAGGGCUUUCAGGACUGAGGAUCUUUCAGAAUCCUCAUGGGUACAAAAGAGCACACUUUACUGAAAAUAUGAUCCAUUUCAGGUAUACCUAGAUUAAAACCUUCCCAGCUCUUAUGACAGUAUCCUUCAUAGCCUUGACAGUGGGCAAUGUAGUGGACAGUAGUAGGUAUGCUUCAAGAUCAAACGGGUGAGCAUUAGAAGUUCAUCCCGGCCCCUAAUUGCUUAGCAAAGCAAGGCAUAGUUUAAUGUGACUUAGCAGUGUGACCACCUACCUAGAAGGCUUACGGUGGUUCACACAAAGGGCAGUGCUAAUUGACAAGAAGUGGGCAACACAGUCAGCACCUAGGACAGAUCCAGGGGUCCCUGGCUUCCAAACAAGGCUGAACUGCAGUUGGCAGCUCUCUGCUCUGCAACUGGUCCUGCCCUAAAGCUGGAACUUUAAAAGUUCUAGACAUUCUUACCCUCUGCAUAAAACAGUGGUUGCCCUUUGUGUAUGUAGUGACCUAAAAUAACAACAAUGUAUUAUUUUGCGUGUUUGUGUGGGUUGGCUGAGCAUUUCCUCGGCUGGUUUCCCUGGGUUCACUCAUGCAGCUGCAUUGAGCUGGAGGGUCACGGAACUGAAGGUUCAAAAUGGCUUCACUCAUAUGUCUAGUAGUUGGUGCUGGAUAUUGGCUGGGCUGCUUCAUUGCUCCUCCAUGUAGUUUCUUAUUCUAUAAUAAGCUACACCAGCUUCUUAACAUGGUGUUAAAAAGUAGCAUUCCUCCUCUUGAGAUCUCGUCACCAGAACUCACUAAAAGUCCUUUCUGCCACACCCCAAGAGUCAAAGUCCAUUCUACUGGCAAGUCCUUCACAGAUUCAAGAGGUCAGAAAAUUGACCCCACGUCUUAAUAAGCUGCAAAGAAUGUGCAGCCAAGUUUAAUUUAUCCCAGCCUCCUUAACUGCUCAAGAUGGAACACAGAAGUAGCAAGGUUUUUUCUGAUCCUUGACUACAAUACCACCUUAGCACAGUCUCCAUAUAUCACUGCUGUGUUUUGCAUGUACCUCUAUUAUAAUACUAAUCUAUUCGUGCAUUGAAUAAGCAAUUAUAGAAGAUCAUUGUGAGCCAGGCAAGGUGCCAGGUGUUUGUUUUUUUUUUUUUAAUUUAACAUUAGCUCAUCAAGUUAUUAUAAGAAUCUAUCAGAUUUUAUUCCCUUCUGUCCCCAUUUAAAGAUAAAGACACUGAAUCUCAGAACGAUGAAGAAAUUCACUCAAUGCGCAGUCAGCACAUGGCAGUCUUCCAUUUAAAUAGUCUAUUUACCACUUUUGGUUUUCCAUUUACCUGUCUACCUCCCCUAAAGAGUGUGUGCUUCCUGAGGACAAAAAUGCGUCCUUUGUGCAUUACCAGUUCAUACAGCAUGGCUGGAGGUGGUUUGUAGGUUCUCUUAAAUGUUGGAUAGAGAGACCAGUGGACUUCCAAAUUGUGGAUGCUUUGUUCUUUCUUCUGUGAGUAUCUACUGUUUAUAUUAUCUGAGAUAAUGUGGCUGAGAAUAAUAUGAUGGAAAUAAUAAUCAGCAUCACCUGCCAAAAAUUUAUUACAUGCCAGAAACUAGUGAGAAUUUUUUGCAUCUUUAUCUCAUAUAGCCUCACCACCUAUGAGGUAGGUACUAUCAUCCUGAUUUUAUGUGUGAGGAGCCAAGGGGUUAGAGAAUAGAUUUUGAUUGCCCAAGGUGAUACAACUGUUAGAACUUGCACUCAGGACUGACACCUAAGAUCAUAUUCUUGAUGACUGGAUUAUUCAGUUCACCCACCCCCAUUGCCUUUCUGCAUUCUUUUCUAGAAGAAAAGUUUACACGUUAAUAUGAAAGAAAAUGUACAUGAGAUGAAACUCUCCAUCACUACUGAAUAAAAUAGAAGGAAACUCAAAACCCUCUAUGAUCAGGACCCACACUGUCUUUGCAGUCCUAUUUCCUACUCUGCCUAUCAAUAGAGUCUCUGUUUCUACUCUAUUAGUCACUCUUUUUGUGAUGUGGCCUCUACUUUCGCCUUUAAUGAUAAGAUUCCCUUCAUUAGUCACACGUCGAAAUUCUUCAUCUUUAUGGAUAGCGAAAGUGACUCUUUGGAAAAACAUUCUUUUUAUUCCCCUAGUUGCCAUUAACCACCUGUUUGUCAACGCUUCACCAAGCAAAUAAUGUGUACCUUUAUUUAGCCCAGUUCGCUGUUUACAUGCUGUUUACCCGCCUCCAUCUCUCCUACCUUCCUCUCAUUUUUCCAAUACAUUUCACAUUUCUGCUUUGUCCAAGGCACUGUGCUAGAGCCCAGGACCUUAGAAAUAACUGAGAUACCGAUCCUACUUUCAGGAAACUCACAAAGAAGCCUUUAAAUAAAUAGAUACGGGAGCUUCCUAGGGGUGAAGCCAUGGGUGUAAACAAUUACAAUAUCAAAUCUAUGCUAGAAAUAUGGGCAAUGCCUCACAUUCUAGACAUUUGGUAAAUAUUUAUUCAUUUAAUUACUCUCUAUAAUGAAAGAGGCUUAGGUUCAAAUCCUGUUCUUUCUCUCUUGGUAACACUGAGCAAAUCACUUUCACUUUCUGAGGCUCAGAUAGCAAGAAGGUGAAAUAGUUAAUAAUACUGAACUCAUGAGGUUUCUGUGAAAAUUAAAUAUGUAGCAGAUGCCUAUAGUAAGCGCUCAAUGUAUUUUCGCAUUCUAAACUCCUCCCUAACUUACAUCCAGAAAGAACAUGUAGCAAUUCAAAAUGCAUCGCUGGAUGGAUGAACAGAUGGAUGGAUGAAUGAAUGAGUGAAUAAACGAGGCAAGAAUAAAACUUCAGGACAUGAUGACACAGACAGACCCUAUAAGGCAAGAGGGCAUCAACUCCCUUCUCAGGGGCUCUGAGCCACGAAAGCCCUGGAGAACACGCUCUUCUAUUGUCCUUACCUUCCCCCAGGGGUCGCGCCACUGCUCCUCCCCUUCACAGGGGGCCCAAACAGCUUGUUUUUCUCCUCUUUGUGUUCUGGGGAUAUGUGAUUUUACUGUCAGCAUGGUGUUUCUAAUGAAAGGCAAAUGGUGUCCAAUGUGACUGGAGAAAAAACGUACAAACAACAACAAAAUUAUAUGUUCUUUUUUCCUGUCGUGUUCGCAGGGAGAAUAUGUGACUUGUUUGCUGUCAAUACUGCUUAUAAUGACAUGGUGCACAGAAGCACUGCCAAAUGUGUGCAGCAUUCAUUAUACACAUGUAUUAAAUGUAAUGCGAUAUGAGUUUGGCGGCAGAGCAGAUGAGAGCUGCCCUGGGGCUAAUUUGGAGUUAGAGCACCUCUUCCUGUGGGAUGAUUAAGGGGGAAAGGGGGAUUGGGCAGCAGCAUGGGCGUGUAGCAGGGUGUCUAGAAUUUUCUGGAUUAAUUUUGGGCUAGGUUGAGAGACACGUAUUAGAGCGCAAAGGGUCUUUAAAUAUAUAUCCUCUUUCAGCAGUAACAACAGAAUCAUUUAAUGACCAGUUCUUGAGCCACUACUAACUAAGUGCCAGGUUUGUAAUGGGCUCAAGAAUAAGAUGCUUUACCAGCUUUCAAAAAGUUUACAAGUUGGUAGGAGAGAGAAACAAGUAGAGAGAGAGAAAAUAACAAUAGACCCUAAUAAAUUCAGUAAUAGGUACAGGCUAAGUGUUAUAUCAAACUGCAGAGGAGGGUACCUCAACCAGACAAAUGUCGCUUGUUCUGAGGUGCCUUCCCUGACCCCUCCUGUAGGACCAGGUUACCCUGUUAUAUGCUCUCAGGGUACCCUGGGCAUUCCCUUCAUGGUAUUUGUCAUGGUCUGAAGUUAGCUAUAUGUGUGAUAAUUUUACCAAUGUCUAUCUGGCUUCUAGACUUUAGGCCCUAUGAAGGCAAGGACCUCAUUUCUUUUGCCUCUAGCACCUGGCACCAUAUCUGGCACAUAGUAAUGCUCCAGUAAUAGUUGUGGUUAAAUGAUUGGGUACAGUUAUAUACGAGCUUAAUCUUGAAAGACAUGGGAGAAAUAAGCCACAUAAAGAGGGUGAGGGGAAUGGUGGGCUAAAAGAAGACGUGUGAAGCAUUCAUAAAUGAAUAUAAAAGUAUAGAAGUGAAAAUACACAGGACAAAAUUAGGAAAAAGGCAAUAAGACUGGACCAUUGAAAUUCUUAACUUUAUUAUUCACAUUUUCUCUAAUAAGGCACAAACAGGUGAGAGGCCAUACAUCACUGAUAACAUCCAGAAGGAAACACUCAAGAAACACUGGACUUGAUGGAGAUGUAAUUUGGGAGGCAGAUGUGAUGAGCUAGGCAGUAAAGGCAUAGUUUGGCUGUGAGAAGGAGAGUGUAGCUAAAGAAUGUUUAAGAAAGUCUUCUCUAUGGACUUCCCACCGUGGUGCAGCGGAAACGAAUCUGACUAGGAACCAUGAGGUUGUGGGUUCGAUCCGUGGCCUCGCUCAGUGGGUUAAGGAUCCAGCGUUGCCAUGAGCUGUGGUGUAGAUCACAGAUGCGGCUAGGAUCUGGUGUUGCUGUGGCUGUGGUGUAGGCCAGCAGCUACAGCUCCGAUUUAACUCCUAGCCUGGAAACCUCCAUGUGCCACAGGUGAGGCCCU
rnacentral:lncRNA from 1 species